rfam:Beta vulgaris subsp. vulgaris chromosome 7, whole genome shotgun sequence.
AGACCAUGAUGGGGGCACAAACGCUGCAGAUCCUUCAAUCUCUCAUAUGCUUCAUAGAGGGACUCCCCUGGCUCCAGAGAAUAUGUAGUGAUCUGUUGUCUCGUAU